GUCGCUCCACAGCUGGCAGAUGAGCUGGCUGGGAAGAUACAAGGUGGCUGCACUCACUAUUGGGGGCCCUAGCUCGGAUGCCUGCCAGGCUGGGCUCAGCUGGGACUGCCUCCUACACGUGGCCUCUCCAGCAUGGUGACGUCACGGAAGCCUCAGACUCCUCACACAGAUGCUGGAUUCCCCGGAGGGAGUGUUUCCAGGGGUCCCCUGCAGAAUCAGCAAGCAACGCUUCUGACACCUGCCUCGGAAGGGCCAGAGCACCUCUGCUGUUGUGGUCCAUUGGCAAGCCAAUCACUAAGGCUGGCCUGUACUCAAAGGAAGAAUUAGAUCCCACCUCUCCAUGGGCCGCGCAGCAGAUAAUUCGGGGUCUUGGUUAAUCUACCAUGUUCUUUCUCUCCACUGCAGGGAAAUCUGAACUAACAAGAUUUUGAAUCACUCACCAAAUGGCGGUCUUCCUUUUAACUGAGUCUUAUCUCAUCCUACUACAAAAAUUUCCCAAGAAAAUGUGAAGAGUCUUGAUACGGAGCUCAGGCAGUCACGUGAGUGAAGGGGAGCGGCUGUAAACACAGAUGAAGCUUGGCUCACUCGCUCGCCAUUCACCUCCUGCUGUCCAGUCCAGUCCUGAACGACAGCCCUUUAAACAGAAGGACUCUGUUGUCUAGUUUUUUUACUGUUGUGUCCACAGCACCUAGAAUGACUCUUGGCACAUGGCAGGUGGUUCUGAUGCUAGCUCGAGUCUGAGAAGCUCUGGUUUACGAGAGAGGCCACCAAAGGCCUCUCUUCUGUCUUCCUCCAGCAUCUUCAUUGAACAGCCAGCUUCAAGCC
rnacentral:lncRNA from 1 species